rnacentral:tRNA from 6 species
GCGCGGGUGUCGUAACAGUAGCCGAGCUGCCUUGAGGUGGCAGUGUCCGUAAGGGCGUGGAGGUGCGAUUCCUCUCCCGCGCACCA